rnacentral:lncRNA from 1 species
GUAGAAUUACAUUGGUCAUGUAAUCAUAUAUGCACGUAGGAUAGUAAUGUCAGAUUCAUUCUUUGCUGUUCCUACCCCUUCCUUCCCUUCAUUCCCCUUUGCUAAUCCAAAGUACUUCUCUUCUCCUGCCACCCUCCAACCCCUUUGUAAGUUAGCAUUUACAUAUCAGAGAAAACAUUUGGCCUUUGGUUUUUGGGGGAUGGUUUAUGUCACUUAGCACGAUAGACUCAAGUUCCAUCCAUUUACCAGCAAUUGUCAUAAUUUCAUUCUUCUUUAAAGCUGAGUAAUAUCACAUUGUGUAUGUAUACCACAGUUUCUUUAUCCAUUCAUCUGUUGAAGUCACCAAGUAUUAUUGUGUUGUGGUCUACUUGAAUCUUGAAAUCGAGAAGGAUUUGUUUGAUGAACAUAGAUGCUCCAUUGUUUGGGGCAUAAAUAUUUAUGAUUAUGCCUUGUUGACAUAUAAUUCCUUUAAACAGUAUGCAAUGUCCCUUCUGAUUAACUUUGGCUUGAAGUUCACUUAUCUGAUAUGAGGAUAGAAACCCCUGCUUGUUUACUUGAUCCAUGUGAGUGGUGAUGUUUUUUCCCAUCCUUUCACCUUCAGUUUGUGGGUGUCUUUGCCUAUGAGGUGAAUCUUUUGGAGACAGCAAAACAUUCCAAGUGGCUUGGUGUGGGUCUGUUGUAAUUUUGUAUAUUUAGGGUCCAGUAAGUCUCCUCUAUUUGAUUUUCCAUUUCAUUCUUUAGGUUUGGGAAUUUUUCUGAUAUUAUUUCAUUGAAAAGAUUGUACAUUCCUUUGGUUUGUAUUUCCAUGCCUUC